ensembl:piRNA 21ur-4194 ncRNA
UAACGCAGGAUGCAAAUUUAA